rnacentral:rRNA from 1 species
UACGUAGGGGGCUAGCGUUGUCCGGAAUCAUUGGGCGUAAAGCGCGCGUAGGCGGCCAGAUAAGUCCGGUGUGAAAGUCACAGGCUCAACCUGUGAAUGCCGCUGGAAACUGUCUGGCUAGAGUCCGGAAGGGGCGAGUGGAAUUCCUGGUGUAGCGGUGAAAUGCGCAGAUAUCAGGAGGAACACCAAUGGCGAAGGCAGCUCGCUGGAGCGGUACUGACGCUGAGGCGCGAAAGCGUGGGGAGCGAACAGG